rnacentral:piRNA from 1 species
GACAAAAAACAGAUUGGCACAAUGGUGGG